CCCUUAACUGUUAAAAGUUUCGUUUUGGUCCUUUAACUUACUUUUUGGUUUCGUUUUGGUCCCUUAACUCUUCCUCCGUCAACCACUUUGGUCCUUUAUGUUAUGAUGAAUGUAUUAGAGUUAAGGGACCAAAACGAAACCAAAAAAUAAGUUAAGGGACCAAAACGAAACUUUUAAUAGUUAAGGGACCAAAACGAAACCAAAAAGUAAGUUAAAGGACCAAAACGAAACUUUUAAUAGUUAAGGAA
rnacentral:pre_miRNA from 1 species